AUCAACCAGUCCAUAAUAUCAUUGAUAAUGUAUUGGAUGUUAAAACUGCAAUAAAAAAAACUAACAGUCAAUAUGCUGAUAGCGACGGCUAGCUUUAUCACUGAGUGGAGUGUGUAAGUUUACCUGGAUAGUCUCGAUCAGUCCAGUGACAGUUAAAAUGUCACGGCGAUCUGGGCGAGGUUUUAGGUCAGAUAUUGCGACAUGUUGAACACCGACUACUAUGAGUUGAUUACUCAAUCAGAACACCAUUUUAACUAGAGGACUAGAUGAAUGAAUCGGUAAUUGGUUAUGAACAGGGCAUGGUAUAUAGUAUUAUGUAUAUUAUUGACUGAAUGUAUAUCAGGGUUAUUAGCGGAUACAGGAGUGCUGGAUCCUGCUGAAAUAACUGGUGUGACUAUAGGUACAUUUGUGGUGGUGUUCUGUCUUAUAGAACUCGUACUCUGUAAUUGGGAGCGCAUCAAGAGAAUCUGUAGCUGUUGCUGUUGCUGUGCGGUUGACACUGCAAAUUGUAGGGAGACCAAUGUCCAACUACCAAUCCCAACCAUAAGCAUCGCAGAUCCAGACAAUUUGGAGGACCGAAUUCGAUAUGGAUUGGAACCGGACGUGCCGCGACCUGUCACACCUCGAGACAUUUUACUAAAUGAAACACGUGAAAUCACUCCGUCCGAUCCCCCACCCAGCUACGACGAAGUCAUGGCCAAUACGCACCCAGUCCCAUCUGCGCCUCCAGAACAAAUAUUUUCAUAUGUGCCUUCCAAGCCCCUUUCUCCAUCUGCUCCCGUCCAGCACCUGAUUCCCUCAGCUCCAGCAGAACAAACACCGCCUUCCGCUCCACUGAUAUAGAAUUACAGAUAGUUAGCUAGGCCUAUAUUUACAGUUAGCUAGGCCGGACUUUACAGUGUGCUAGGCCUGGAUUUACAGUGUGCUAGGCCUGGAUUUGCACUUUCCACUGGAAAGAGAAAUUAAACAAUAUGGAAUACAUUGUUACUACUACCGUUAAAAAGGUCGCGUGUUCGAUCCCUGCUUUGGCUGAGAGAUAUUCUGGCGUGUCUCCCCUUGUCAGUGGUACAGAACGGAGGGCCUGACAAGGACAGUCGGGGUUUUAUUGUGGAGAGGGAGGGGUUAUAAUGGUGGAUCCUAACAUUAUGGACGAUCUUAACUGUAUGUAAAACAUGUCGGCCUUGAAUAGUCAUGCACACUUUAUUUAUCUGUGACAUAAAUGAAAGCCGAGAUCAUUUGUUAAAACGGUCGUUUUUGUAUUUUGUAUGUGAUAUUUGAUAUAAAUGAACUGUACAACAUUUGAUAUAAAUGUAUUUAUAACAUGGACGAGAAAUGUUCCUAUGUUCUUUUCGUUGAAUAAGGAGAUUGUUUUCCCUCUAGUAGAUUGGGUGGUGCUGAACCGUGCUAUAACUAAACAUGUUCAAUGUUAUUGCACUCUUUUGCUGGUUUACACUAGUUUUAGUAGAAAUCAUAUAGAGAAGUGGGGUGGGUUUUCUGUGAAAUAACAACGAGCAUGUUGAGCAGGUGCCAAUGUUAAAAGUCAUUUAUAGCACGCUUCAUUCGUUAACAGGCCUCGAUGUUAAAACCUGUUAACUCAUGAAAGCCGUGCUAUAAAUAUAACUUCUAGAACGUUUGAUAUAAAUAUACUUAUAGAACAUUUGAUGUACAUGAUGAACAUUUGAUAUAAAUAUACUUAUAGAACAUUUGAUAUAAAUAUGAAAUGGAAUGGGGUUUAACGUCCUACUGUUGAUAUAACUGAACUCUAUAUAACUGAACUGUAUCGAACGUUUGAUAUAAAUAUACUUAUAGAAGAUUUGAUGUAACUGAACUCUAUAAACAUUUGAUACAACUGUACUCGACAGAACAUUUAAUAUAAUUGCAUACUAAUAUAUAGAAUAUUUUAGAAUUAAAUGUAUCAGAAUUGCAAUGGUGUUUCGUUACAGUUCUGUUAUUUACAAUGGUUCCGGCAAACAAAGGACUCGAAACAAUUUUCUCAAAUGGGCUUUAGCGUCCACUGAAAGCACACUAUACCAUUUUAGAAUUUUAUGUCAGAUAUUCGCUAGACAGAAUAUCUUACGUGUGUAGAAUCGAAACCACCACACCUAACUCAAUGACAGACCUUAUGAUCUAAAGCGCGAACAUUUAACCAUUGGACCACCUAAUUCCCGUAUUUUCAGAUAUCUUGUUCCACCCUCUUUGAGACAGUUAAGAAUUUCCAAUAACCAUUUCAUUCAUUUCCUGCAAAAGCUUACGAAACUAAACCAAAUGAUGUACUGGCAUCUCCUGUCUGGAUACAUUUUGACAAAUUAAUGUUAUGAAUUAAUCCAAAACUUCGAAAGGUAAAAAAAAUGGGGCUGAUAUCUUGAUAUCUGAAGAGAGAAAAAAAAACAUGGUGUUGUUACCAUAGUUAUAAUAUAUCUAAGGAGAAAAAUAACUUCCUAGACUGUGAUUGACUUAAAAUGUAUAUCUUAUAUUUUUGUUUGUCAGUAAUUAUGUAAUAUAAUAUAUAAUACAAUAACGACUAUUCAAGUUUCA